GAUGAAGAACGCAGCAAAAUGCGAUAAGUAGUGUGAAUUGCAGAAUUCAGUGAAUCAUCGAAUCUUUGAACGCACAUUGCGCCCCCUGGUAUUCCGGGGGGCAUGCCUGUUCGAGCGUCAUUUCACCACUCAAGCCUCGCUUGGUAUUGGGCAACGCGGUCCGCCGCGUGCCUCAAAUCGACCGGCUGGGUCUUCUGUCCCCUAAGCGUUGUGGAAACUAUUCGCUAAAGGGUGUUCGGGAGGCUACGCCGUAAAACAACCCCAUUUCUAAGGUUGACCUCGGAUCAGGUAGGGAUACCCGCUGAACUUAAGCAUAUCAAUAAGCGGAGGA
rnacentral:misc_RNA from 1 species